GACGAACGCUGGCGGCGUGCUUAACACAUGCAAGUCGAACGAAGUGGCGAACGGGUGAGUAACGCGUAAUCAACCUGCCCUUCAGAGGGGGACAACAGUUGGAAACGACUGCUAAUACCGCAUACUGAAGGAGGGGAUUGCGUCUGAUUAGCUAGUUGGUAAGGUAAUGGCUUACCAAGGCUAUGACGCGUAACUGGUCUGAGAGGAUGAUCAGUCACAUUGGAACUGAGACACGGUCCAAACUCCUACGGGAGGCAGCAGUAAGGAAUAUUGCGCAAUGGGGGAAACCCUGACGCAGCAACGCCGCGUGGAGGAUGACACGUUUCGGAGCGUAAACUCCUUUUAUCAGGAAAGCGGUACCUGAUGAAUAAGCACCGGCUAACUCCGUGCCAGCCGCCGCGGUAAUUC
rnacentral:rRNA from 1 species